CGCCUGGCCCGCGCGGGCCCUGUCCCUCCUCUGGCCUGCCGGCCGCGGGCGCGCCUUAUUUAUUUAUUUCCCGUCGGAGAAGACGGCGGAGGCGAACCGCGGGCUGGCCAGCGGCCCUUCUCUGAGGAGGCCGCGCGCGCAGGGCGGGAGGGGCGGUGCAACGCGGAGGGAUCUGACGCACGGGCCGCAGCGCCGGAGCUCGCCGCGGCGCAGGCUGCGCGGAGAUGGAAGUUAGUUUCUGUGAGGCAGGAAUGGGAGACAAAUGGAGUGAGCUCCCCGCGAGGGACAGGCCCUGAGCAGGGCUCACGCGCGCACGCUGACACGCUCAGGGAACGCUCGCGCCGGGCGAGCUCUGGCCGCCGCCGGCCGAGUUGAAUGAUAAUGUUUGCUUGCUGCCCCUCGCCAUGUGCGUGUGCGGACGCCGCGGGUGGCGUCGCCAGUCCUGCCCUGCGUUGUUUCGGCAGCCGGUGCAGCGCCGCGCGGUUUGCUGGAGUGCCAUGCAUUGCAAUCGAGGUUCGGUGAUCUCCGUGAAGCACUUGCGUUUUGCAAACCCGUUAUCUGCCGUAACCACCUCGGCAUAUUUCUUUUAUUACGAACGAUUGCCUUGAGCGUACAUUUUUUUAAAAAAAUGUUUUUCAUUGUUAAACGGGCAAAGCGAACUCCUGAUUCGUACUUCAGAUACUCUUUUCCUGAUUAUAAAAAGCUCCUCACACGCCGAGUCGGAAAUACUUGCUGCAACUGCCUUGGGCCCCACUGCAAGACUGUACGUGUGAUGCUGUCUACUGAAACAUGCAGAAAUCAUCACACAAGGGAGGAAGAAGGGGGAAAAAAAAGCCUCAAUCCCUCUGCAAUCAUCGGGUGUGAAAUCAGCUUUUGUAACUCAAUAAAAUAAAAAAUGGACGUUACCAUGAUUUGUCCUGCUGUAACCUAUUUAUCAGAACAACUUUUAUUUAUUGACAUAGCUAUUCUCUAAUUGUGAAAAUAUUUGCAUAUUUAAAAUCGUUUAAUUCUGUUCUAACUAUUUUAGAUAAAGUAGCCUGCUUCUAGAGGGUUAGGCUUGAAAAGAUAGAUAUUUGUAUCCCAUUUUGCAGUAUUUCUAUGGCUGAUGCUGUUUUUAACUUUUUUAAGUCUUUAUGUUCUUCAAAUAAUUGUGAUAUCUUACAUUAUUGCAUUGUUCUUCAAAUAAACAGAUUUUAGAACUAAAAAUUCUAGUUGGGAUUUUCUGGUUUCGAAAUGCUUUAUUAGUCUGAUUUUUAUCUGGUGGUGUAUCUUUGUCAAGGAAAACUAAACUUUAGCAUAGAAUAUAAAAUUCUUCUGGGUAAAGUUUCCCAUACAUAUCUUGUGGCUGUUAAGGAAAUGUGGAAAGGUUUUUUAUUUAGAAAUUUUUAUUUAGAAAUUAUGAGGGCUCUUUUUAAAUUAUGCUAGUAGUACUUAGCUUUUAAAAACAUUUUUAAGGAAAAAAAUCUCCCUUCUGAAUAUGAUAGUCCUGUCAUUUUGGCUAGCCUAUGACAAUAUUUUUAUUUUCUUUUUAAGAUGUUCAAUUUGAAAAUAGUUGUAAUCUUG
rnacentral:lncRNA from 1 species